rnacentral:rRNA from 1 species
UACGUAGGGGGCAAGCGUUGUCCGGAUUUAUUGGGCGUAAAGAGCGUGUAGGCGGCCUGGAAGGUCAGCUGUGAAAACUCGAGGCUCAACCUCGAGACGUCGGUUGAAACCACCUGGCUAGAGUCCGGAAGAGGAGUGUGGAAUUCCCGGUGUAGCGGUGGAAUGCGCAGAUAUCGGGAGGAACACCAAUGGCGAAGGCAGCUCGCUGGGACGGUACUGACGCUGAGGCGCGAAAGCGUGGGGAGCGAACAGG